CAUGACAUCUUUCUUAGUAAGUCUGUCCCACACAUGACAUCUUUCUUAGUAAGUCUGUCCCACACAUGACAUCUUUCUUAGUAUGUCUGUCCCACACAUGACAUCUUUCUUAGUAAGUCUGUCCCACACAUGACAUCUUUCUUAGUAAGUCUGUCCCACACAUGACAUCUUUCUUAGUAAGUCUGUCCCACACAUGACAUCUUUCUUAGUAAGUCUGUCCCACACAUGACAUCUUUCUUAGUAAGUCUGUCCCACACAUGACAUCUUUCUUAGUAAGUCUGUCCCACACAUGACAUCUUUCUUAGUAAGUCUGUCCCACACAUGACAUCUUUCUUAGUAUGUCUGUCCCACACAUGACAUCUUUCUUAGUAAGUCUGUCCCACACAUGACAUCUUUCUUAGUGAGUCUGUCCCACACAUGACAUCUUUCUUAGUAUGUCUGUCCCACACAUGACAUCUUUCUUAGUAAGUCUGUCCCACACAUGACAUCUUUCUUAGUGAGUCUGUCCCACACAUGACAUCUUUCUUAGUAAGUCUGUCCCACACAUGACAUCUUUCUUAGUGAGUCUGUCCCACACAUGACAUCUUUCUUAGUAUGUCUGUCCCACACAUGACAUCUUUCUUAGUAAGUCUGUCCCACACAUGACAUCUUUCUUAGUAAGUCCGUCCCACACAUGACAUCUUUCUUAGUGAGUUUGUCCCACACAUGACAUCUUUCUUAGUGAGUCCGUCCCACACAUGACAUCUUUCUUAGUGAGUCUGUCCCACACAUGACAUCUUUCUUAGUAAGUCUGUCCCACACAUGACAUCUUUCUUAGUGAGUCCGUCCCACACAUGACAUCUUUCUUAGUAAGUCUGUCCCACACAUGACAUCUUUCUUAGUAAGUCUGUCCCACACAUGACAUCUUUCUUAGUAAGUCUGUCCCACACAUGACAUCUUUCUUAGUAAGUCUGUCCCACACAUGACAUCUUUCUUAGUAAGUCUGUCCCACACAUGACAUCUUUCUUAGUAAGUCCGUCUCACACAUGACAUCUUUCUUAGUAGGUCUGUCCCACACAUGACAUCUUUCUUAGUAGGUCUGUCCCACACAUGACAUCUUUCUUAGUAAGUCUGUCCCACACAUGACAUCUUUCUUAGUAAGUCUGUCCCACACAUGACAUCUUUCUUAGUAAGUCUGUCCCACACGUGACAUAUUUCUUAGUGAGUCUGUCCCACACAUGACAUCUUUCUUAGUAAGUCCGUCUCACGCAUGACAUCUUUCUUAGUAAGUCUGUCCCACACAUGACAUCUUUCUUAGUAAGUCUGUCCCACACAUGACAUCUUUCUUAGUAAGUCUGUCCCACACAUGACAUCUUUCUUAGUAAGUCUGUCCCAUAUAUGACAGUCAUGCUCUGACCAAAUAUGCCCGAUCAGCACUCCAACAAGUCAAUAACAACAACAAAGCUCGCUUUUUGUGCAUUCACGCACAGCAUAAAAAGUUUGGUGGACAAAAUGAGGCAAAGAAGGAGUGGCAUACAACAUCGGAGAAAGUUGUACAAACGACGGUGUGUUCAAGGAGCGCUGAAAUUAGUAGGACAAAACAGCGCUGGCUGAAUAAUCUCAUCAGUGAAGCAUGUUUAACAUAAACAGUGGGAUUUUUAACAAUUAGGAAUGUUUUUUGUCAUGUUUGUUCUGUUACAGAAAAUAUAUUAAAACAAUGUUUUUAUUGAUCUUUUUCCAUUCGCACACAUCUCUGAGGGAGGUCCAGGAGCCACAAGGGCGGUGCUAAAGACGCGGGUCGCCUACGCCCGAGACUGGCCGGCAGUUCAUGCAGGACACAUGAACUCAAAUCAGAGAAAGCAGCAUCUCCUCAUCCAGAAACAACACCAGAAAUGUGUCCCGUGAAAAACCAUCCAACCAGAACUCUAAUAACUAAAGUUCCUUGGAAAUGGCAACAGUGGAGGAUGGAUUUCAAGAACAAGAAGGUGGAGACAAAGAAGAGCUUAUUGACUACGGUGUCGGCACGGACUACAAAGGCGGAUCUGCACACAUUUUCAGGACUUGCUCAGAUCCCAAAUACAGAUCAGCAGGUACCA